rnacentral:rRNA from 1 species
UUAGAACAGCACAUGCGGCUUUGCUAGAACAGCACAUGGGGCUUUGCGCUGAACGGAUCCCGCAGCACCCGCAGGUCGGGACGCUCGGCGAUCGUGUAGCCGGCAGCGAAAUCGCCAAAGGCAAUGGCAAAGGCAUCGUCCCCGGCAUCCGGCAUGUCCUCGACGAUCACCACCGGAUAGCCCAUCAGACGCGCAGGCUCCCCCGCCGCGAGGCCGUCCGACCACAGGAAACGACCAUCCGCAUCCUUCAGCUUGCGCACGGCACCAGCGGUCUUCGAGUUCAUCACAAAGCUCGCAUUGGCGCGGUAUUCAGCCCCCAGCGCAUAGACCAAGUCAAUGAUGCCGUCACCGCCGUUAAAAUCACCGUCAACGCCGGUCGGGACAUAGCCCAGAUUGCCCCAGGUCCACACAUCAUUGUCGACCGCACUGUGGGUCAUGAUCCCGGUCGGUUUGUCGACGCCAUCGCCGUUGAUGAACGCCGCCGCCUCGGCGCGGGCGAACUUGUCGGCGAUGCGACCCGCCAGCCAGCCGUCUAUGUUGAACGCACUGUCAUCCAGCAGACGCUGAGACGCCUUGGGCAGUGCUGACAGCUCGUGCAGCGGAAUGGUGAUACGCUCGAUAUUCGAGGUCCCGGUCUCGGUGGUGGAGGUUGUCUCAUCCGCCCAGCCCGCGCCAACGUCGCCCGAGUCAAACAGCACGUCAUACGAGGUCGCCUCGACAUUCACGACAUUGGCGAUGGCACGGAUCGACGCUGUCGAUUGCAACACAUUCCUGAUCGUGUCAGCGGGCUGCGGAUCGACCAGAUAGCC